GGUGCGUGGGCCGGGUUCAGGGGCCGGCUCCCCCCGCGGUGGGGUACGGAAGCGACAGGGCCGGUAUGCCGGGUGCGAGCCACCCGGCAUACCG
rnacentral:tRNA from 1 species